AGCGAACGCUGGCGGCAGGCCUAACACAUGCAAGUCGAACGAACCUUUCGGGGUUAGUGGCGGACGGGUGAGUAACACGUGGGAACGUGCCUUUAGGUUCGGAAUAACUCAGGGAAACUUGUGCUAAUACCGAAUGUGCCCUUCGGGGGAAAGAUUAAUCGCCUUUAGAGCGGCCCGCGUCUGAUUAGCUAGUUGGUUGAGGUAAUGGCUCACCAAGGCGACGAUCAGUAGCUGGUCUGAGAGGAUGAUCAGCCACAUUGGGACUGAGACACGGCCCAAACUCCUACGGGAGGCAGCAGUGGGGAAUCUUGCGCAAUGGGCGAAAGCCUGACGCAGCCAUGCCGCGUGAAUGAUGAAGGUCUUAGGAUUAUAAAAUUCUUUCACCGGGGACGAUAAUGACGGUACCCGGAGAAGAAGCCCCGGCUAACUUCGUG
rnacentral:rRNA from 1 species